rnacentral:rRNA from 1 species
UACGUAGGUGGCAAGCGUUGUCCGGAUUUACUGGGCGUAAAGAGCGCGCAGGCGGUCGUCCAAGUCGCGUGUGAAAGCCCCCGGCUCAACUGGGGAGGGUCACGCGAUACUGGUCGACUCGAAGGCAGGAGAGGGUAGUGGAAUUCCCGGUGUAGUGGUGAAAUGCGUAGAUAUCGGGAGGAACACCAGUGGCGAAGGCGACUACCUGGCCUGUUCUUGACGCUGAGGCGCGAAAAGCUAGGGGAGCAAACGGG